AUGCCCAAUGGUAAAAGUAUAUUAAUUUCACCAUAAUUACCAUAAAUAAUAAUCAAAAAGGAAUUAUGAUAUAAU
rnacentral:sRNA from 1 species